AGGUAUCAAAAAGCCUCACUUCAAUGAGAAAACUCAAUGCCCAAGUCUGCAAGAGCCAGUAGAACAUUCUCUGUGCCUGCUUUGCCCAGAACACUGCCCUCUCAGGACCUGUCCAACAGCACUUCUGCUGGUCUCAGAUCCAGGGGCCAGUGCCUCUGACUCCACUCAACUCUCCUGGAGGAUGUCCUGAUUUUGCUCACAGAUCAUUGUGAUGUCACUACCCAGAAUAGCAAAACAAGUAGGUCGUUUCAUGGGAUUUGAGUCUGAGACAUUAAUUGCCUGUAGAUAACCAAUGACCUCCGGGUGGAUAAAUACGGGAUGCAUCGCACAGUCCUCACAGCGCCAGAUAUUUCAGGUUUACCCAACAUUUUACUUUUCUUCUUCCAUAUGUCUGGAGCAUCUUAAACCAAGUUCAAGGCCUAAGACUCUACAGUGUACUCUGUUGGUUCAUACUGGUGAGAAAUCUGUCUGGGAUACCCUGACAGGCUGAUUUAUGUUGUUGUUGUCACCAUUAUUGUUGCUGCUGUUGUGAGGGAUUCCUGUUAGACCCCCCCAACCCCACUGCACAAGUGCUGGUCAUGCCUUCUCUAGUGGCCACUGGAACACGGCGCUGUUGGAGAAAGGCGCCCUCCCUCCUGCUGAUCACUCUGGGCUUAUUUGCCCUUAAUGGCUGUUCUGGAGAUUUAUUCUUUCUUCUUUUGAAUCUGUGAUAUAUUUACGGUAGUUUUUCCUAUUUUAGUCAAGUUUUGUCAAUGUUUUUAGUCUGAAUAUUGAUAAGUAAACCAUUACUAUGUGCAUCUCUCUUUUUUGAGGUCCGCCCUCCCUCCUUGACUUAGUGGCAUCCAAGAUCUGUUACACAACUCACACUGGGCCCUGACCAGGUUUACUUGGUAGCUGCUCCAUAUGCUGAUGUGAUUAAUGAACACGGCUGUCUGUAAAUUGUUUCGUAAUAUCAGGGCUCUCUGUGAUAAGGAGGGUUGGGUCAUAGGCUCUAGAUCCCAAUGACCUGAGAUGCUUUCAAACAUCUCCCCCUCCAAAAUAAAAUAAACACACAAAAAAUCUGUAGCUGUAAAACCGGUAAGAUUUGUGGGAUUAAACUGGGGAAAGUGAGGAGGUGAUGGGUGUGAGAACUCAGGGCAUGAUCAGCAAAGCCUGGGCCAGGCUCAUGGGACAUGUAGGGGACUGAGCAGAGGAGGACCUGGGUCUCCUGGCUCUCGCUGGCUGACUUCUCUUCUCCAUGCAUGCAUGAGGCAGGGAGGUGCUUGUAUAGGUUCUGGUGACAAAAUGAUUUGCUUGCAUUGGAAAACCAGUAAUAAAAUGGGUUUUUUUUUUUUUUUUGCAUCCAUACAGGUGGACUGACUAAAAAGCAUCAGUCCCUCUGGUUUUAGUAGCACAAGUGACAGCAGAAGCCAAAACCUGGGCUGGUGUUGCCUCCAGGCAGGGACAAAGGAGAGUUAGGUCAGACUGGGGAGUGGAUCUCACUCCCCAUGGACUAGGAUUGGCAUCGAGGUUGCAUGCAGCUGUUUGACAGUGACAAUCAGCCUCAUCCUCUGGCUGGAGCCUGCAGUAGUCAAGGAGGUUAUCUUUACAGACCUGGAUCUGGAGAUUGGUCUGGAACCCCUGCUGUCCUAGGACACACACUUAGGGGCUCUUUCUGGGAAUCCUUGAUGCUGAUUUCCAUUGUAACCUAUGUUUCUGUUGAUUCCCUUAAAGGAGACGGUUUGGGUCCUUCUAAAGAGCUUCCUGGGUUGGAUUGACUUCAUGUACAUAUUGGGGAGUUUCUGCUUGCUCAUAUUCCACUGUCCUUCUCUUACACUUUGUCUAAUUGGAAAGGUCCACUGAGAUACAAGAGGAGAGAAGAACUCAAGUGUGUACCUGUAGGCUCCAGAUCACACACCGGAGGGAGUCCCAUGUGCCCUGAGGGGGAUCGGCGGUAGGAAAGUCACAACUGUGGACUUCACCCAGCUUCCAUGCUGCAGGCUCACCAUUUUAGUCUCCCCUUCUUGCUGACAUCACAACCGUAGGUCCAGGCACCCAGCAAGUGUGUCAGGCCAGCUCUGUGCCUGGAAUUCCUCCUGGGAUGUUUCUCACAACAUCUUACAUCUUAAUCUUUUGUGCUUGAACACAGUGAGCCUCAGCCAGAUCUGAGCACAAGAGCCUGGGAGGGAGGGAAGGUCUCCGCUCUGACCCCUCACAGAGCAGAGUCCCUGCUGUGGAGGACUGUGUAUCUGCUGGAUGGACCCUGGGUUCCCACAAGAAGAAAUCUAGCAAAGGCUAAUUUCCCAUCUUUCAAGACAAACAGCCCAGCUACAAAGGCUCUCAUUUUAUCACACAUGGGUCACCAGGCAAAGAUGCAGUGUCAUCAUGAGAUUUGUAUUUUGUUUGGUUUGGUUUUCAUUUUGGUGUUUGUUUACCUGAGAUUGCAGGUAUAUUGACUGGAAAAUUGGGAAGACAGCCGAUGUGAACCAGAAACUACUUCCAGGCACAGCUACUGCGUCUACAAGUUACUGUAAAAUUGCAGAAGCGUCUAUUCCAAGUGCCUGAGUGGGCUGAGGUAUUUGUCCCAAUUUCCCAUCUGCCUGUGUCACUGUGAGAAGCCCUAUUGUGCACAAUCACACAGUAAUAAUCAGCCUCAUCCUCUGGCUGCUGCCCAGAGAUGAGCAGAAUCCUUGCGUUGGCCGAGGCAUCUUUGGAUCCAGAGAAGCAGCUGGGGACCUGGAGCCUGGUGCUUCUCUGAAUCUGUGUGGUAGUAGAGGAGAUGCUGGGAAGGGGACCGUGCAUUCUGCUGGUACCCACGCUGCUUUGAGUAAAAAUCCUCCCUGAGCCGCUGUGUAGGGUCCACAGGGCAGUCCCACAUCACCCCCUGCUGGUCAUAUGUGGAAAAAUGAAAAAUGCAAGAGAUAAUGUCUGUGAAAAACUGGUAAAAUACGUGCUUUUCUAGGAAGGAUCAAAAUUGGCUCUACUGGAAAUAAAACAAGUAAGCUUACCUAUUUUAAUACAGAAAUGCAAAAUGUUAUGGACCCAUUCCACAGAAUGACUGAACAGACAGAUAUUCUCACAUGGAAGCUCUAAAAACAUCAGAGACCAGAGGGUUCCAAUCUACUUGCUCUAUUUUUAAAUAACACUUAAAAGGAUGGAAAACUUACCAGUUCUUUUAGAGAUCAGUUAUAUCAGUUAUAAUGCAUGUUACAGUUAAAUUACAGAAAAAUAAAAAUGGCAGACGAACAACAUUAGAUAUUAUGCAAAUGUUCUAAAUAGAAUAUUAACGAAGAGAUCUCAAUACUAGAUUAAUGAAUUGAUGAAUUAUUAUCAAGUGUCAUUGAUUCCAAUGAUGCAAGUUGUAUGCAAUAGUAAGAAAUAUUUUAAUAUAACACACAAUAUAAAUAUAUAUAGAUAGAUAUGAUCAUAUGGUCUCAAAUGAUACUGGAAGGGAUUUUGACCAAAUUUAGCAUCAAUUCCUAAUAAAAGCCACAUAAAACUAAAAGCCACAAACAGAAACAUUUAUAAUACGGCCAGACACACUCUCUCACACACGUAUAAUGAAAUCCUAGUGGCAGCAUCUUAGUCAAUGGAGUGGUAAAGGGCAGCAUUUCCAAAAAGAUCAGCAAUAGGCAAAGGUGAUUCCCUUUGCCCAUGUACCUCCAUUAAUAUUCCACAGUAUUCUGCAAGCAUGAGAAAAUCCAAUUAAAGUAAUGAUAUCAAUGGUUUGGACAUAGAAUUCACGGGAACAAAGAAGUAGACAUUCUUAAUGAUCCAAAUGAACGUUGUGGCCUUAGAUACUCUGGUCCCAGUGCAGAAGUGACAGCAGAGAUCACCCCAGUGAGUGACUAGUCACUAACACUCACUAGUACUGGUAACAGGUAAUGACAGAGGCAUGUGAGUGGAACAGGGGGAGCAAAGGGGAGGUCUUGGUCCACCUGCCCAGCAGUGAAGAGCAUCUUGUAAGAUAUUAGGCAGUCACCUGAGGUCUGGGGUAAUCAUCUGCAUCCCACUCACACUGCAUCCCAAGUAACAUCAGUCAUCACACUUAUGGGGCUUCUGUCUCACAGCCAGAAUAAGCCACAUGCAGACUUCCAGGGCAGAAAGUGUGGACUUUCUGCCCAAGUGACCAACACACUGAGACAGGCAUUGUGAGUCUGGUGUCACAGCACCUGCUCCAUGUGGAACCAAGGAGAAGGCAGGUCCUGUGCCUAAAAUCUUGUAAAGGUCCCCUACCAGAAGCUGGAAGAACAAGACUUCCGGGUUUGGUUGAGGCACCACUGAGCUCUGUCUCCUGAGGGUCCACUGUGCGGACUCCGCCAACAAGCUGUGUCUUGUCUUCCCAGGAGCCCACUUCCUCCUUGGAAGUGCAUUGGGGCUCCUAAUGGUCUGUCAGCCCCACCUUGUUCAAGACUCCCUGAGGAAAAAGGAGGCGAUGACCUACAUUGGAAGCCAUCAGUUAGGAAGCCAAAACCAGGAGCUCACAGGGUCACGGGAAGCCUCACGGGUGAAGGCAAGUCCCACAUCAGUGAGGACACAGGUCGCCCAACUGCCCUGGAGCCCACUGAGUGGUUGAACAUCUGUCUGACCCAACACCUGCCUCUCCUAAGUCUGAGGACACUCCAUUGCUGCCCCUGCUGGUGACUGCCCAUCCCGCAGCCGCUGUGACAUCCCUAAGCACACCACGCAGAGUGUUCGAUUUUACAGCAGUCUUCCCCAACGUUACUCCCAAGAGAGUGGAAUGAGAAAGGCCUUCUAGGAUUACAUGGGGACAGUGAUGCUCUCACACCUGCACUUCUAUUUUCAUGAAAAACUAUAAUUAUUUUCAAACUGUCAGUCUCUGUCCAUUCCACCCUAGAGCUCCAACCUUGCCUGCUGUGGCAGACACUGACCUCGGUGUGUGAGAGGACAGUGAAAGGGCGCAACAGGGACACACCUAUGCUGACACGGCCCUGUGUGCAUGUGGGUUGUGCACAUGGCUCUGUGUUUUCCUGUGGGUUGUGCACAUGGCUCUGUGUGCAUGUGGGGCGUGCAGAUGGCACAUUGUGCAUGUGGGGUGUGCCCUGGGAUAUUGGGACAGAGGAGCCUGGACAAAGCUGUGAUAUGUAAGCUUGGAUCUGUGGGAUGAGUCAAGUGAUCACCCUGGGAAAGACUGGAAGAGCCUUCAAAUCAGAGGUCAGGUCAUGUACCGAGGUCAGGAAAAGAGGGGAGGCUGGUUGCUGGUGAUGCUGGUGGAUGGCCACUUGAGGUCGGAGAGAUGGACCCUCUAAGCAGGGGAACCCAGCACCUCCAAAUGGAAUAGAAAAGAAAAAUCUCGAAAAAUUAAUAUUCUCUUACUUAAACCUUGAAAUCCUUUAUUACACAUUUUUAAGGUGUAUGAAUGUGCAUCUUCAUAUAGCCACAAAUGCAUUCACAAUGAUGUUGCCUAUACAUUUGUUAAUCAUGCAGAUGAAGAAAUUUUCACUUAUUGUAUUAUUUUUAAUACUCCUGAAUAGGCCACACAAUUGUCAGCUGGAACCCAGUCCCUGUGCUUUCCUUGGCAGUGAAUGCUGCUCUGGGAGGUCCCCAUGCACUGGGUGAGCCUGGGGAGCUCAGGGUUUGUGUCUCCUUCCCCACUGGCCUGGGGCCCCACGUGUGCACUGAGGCUGCUGUCCCACAAGGAGCAGUAAUAAUCAGCCUCGGUCCAGGCUGGAGCCCAGAGAUGCUCAGGGGGCCACACUGCCUCACCUGGAGCCAGAGAAUCUCUCGGAGACCCCAGAGGCCCAGAUGUUAUUCCUGCUGGUCAGGAGUGUGGGGACAUGGCCUUGGGGUUGCUGCUGCAGCCAUGCUUCUCCCUCAUGGCCUACAUUUUUGCUCUUUCCAGUGCAGGUGAGUGUGGCCGUCUGUCCUGGGGACUUGGUCACUGAGGGCGGCUGAGUCAGCCCUGCCUGGGCCACAGACACUGUAGGGCACAGAGAGGAGUGUGAGGAGAGGAGCCCAGGGCACGGGAGAGACCCAGACUCUGAGCCCUAGAGCUGUGCUGUGGAGACGGAGCUGCCCUAAGUCUCUCUGGAUCUCCUGAAACUUUCAUCGGGGAUGGAGUGGAUACACUCAAAUCAGCCCUUGUUCUCUGUCUGCCUCUGGCCUCCCUGCCCUGGUCCUCACAGGGAGAUGGAGGUAGAGGAAGGAUGAGCUGACCCAGGGGGUGGAGGCCCUGGCUCUUGAUGACCCUGGGUCCUGGAGGUCAGCACAGCCCAGUGAGCACACUGAUGGCUGAACCCCUGGAGCCCUGGGUGGCUUCCCAGCUGGGAGGGGCCAUCUCAGGAUUGUCCCACACUGUCCCACAUGCCCUCAGACCCCACCCCACCCGGCCUCUCUGACACACCUGGGCCCUCCGGUUAGAGGAGGACUGUUGUCCCGAUGCUCUUCAUGAAGCUGCUCCUGGUGUCAGAGAGGGACCUGGGCAGCUGGGAUUCUAGACACCGGGGGUGUGGGUUGAGGGAUGUCCCCGUCACUACAAAGAGGCCACAGCAGCUUGCCUUUCAGCUGCAUCAGCAGAGUAUGCACAGAAUUUUAUUAGAUCAUCGAUUAUAAGUCCAAAAAUGGAGAAUAUUUUCUCUUUCAGUUUUUCAUGAGAAUUAGAUCCCAACAAUUUAAUACACUUAUUUUCCUAACACUGUCAUCACCAGGAGCUUGGGAUCGUGUGAGAUCCGUGUCGGCUCCAGUGCAGUCUCUAGGUCUUUCUUGUUUCUGACAUGACUGGAGUCAGCCUCCCUCUGUCCCCAUCACUGUCUCUCUGGAGAGACCGGGUGCCCUGGAAAAGGAGCUCCUGCCUGUGUGGACAUGAGCAGGCAGAGGGUGCAUCGAUGGGAAUGGCUCAGUCUACAGGGGAUCAGAGGAACGGACAUGCUUAGAUCGACAGACCCAUGUAGGGGGCUCAGACCCUCAGAUGCUGGUGACAGAGGUGAUGUCAAUCACAGAGGAGUGAAGGCUGGAGCCCACAGAUGGUCAAAGAGACCACGUUGCCUGACUUGGAGACAGAGAAUCAUCUGGAAUCUCUCAGGGCCUGGUACUUCCAAGAGUCAGAGUUUUGGGGCAGCACCACUGACAGCUGGAACCAACACACACUAUGGGAUCCAAUGUUGCUGUUCCCGGAGCAGGAGAUGGUGACCUCCUGGUCCAGGGUCCCUGACACCGAGGAUGGCUGGGUCAGCAAAGACCGUGCCCAGGACCCUGAAAUGAGGGACACAGAGUCACAGAGGUGAGAGUCAGGGCCCUUCCCACACCCCAGGC
rnacentral:lncRNA from 1 species